GUUGAAAUUAGUAAAUGUCAGCCUUACCAUGUCAGCUUGCCCGCUGUCAGACCAAUUCACAAAUCACUUCAUGCUUUCAGUAGUUACUUUGGAACAUCUAUGAUUUACAUGCUUCUGCCAGUCACCGUGUGAGCAGGGACACACACUCGUUUCAUGUACCUGCACAGGAUUCAUCUAUCGAUCUUGGUUUUUUCCUUAGCUCUCACUCAUUUUGUAUCUAUUUUGGAGGUUGCCAGCCCUUUUGUACUUCAGUCUGCUUUCUGAGCACACUCAUGCUGAUUUCAGAAUAAGACUUAAUAGCUGGUAAGCCUGUACGUGGCUUGUGUAGUUUUCUUAGUGCACAGGGAUUUUGGUGCUUAGGUACAGCCUGCCAGUCUUUGUCAAUUGCAUUGAUUUUUACCACAGUUGGAGAGGCAGGCCGCUCUGUCAGGCUGGGGAACACUGAACAAUCAAGGGAGUUGGGCAUUCCCCUGUAGGACACUGUGCCAUUUCAACAUUAUUCCUGCAGCAUGAAUAAUAUCAGCAGUUUAUGCAUCAAAUCACUGAAUGCAUUUCAAACAGAUAGUGGGAUGAGGUCAAAGGCUUACUGGCUUGAAAGGGGAUUGCUAUCAGUCAGAGGUUACUGCCUAUUGGCAUCCCAGGGCCUUGAUUGAUUGCGUUACAGGAAUUAGGUUGCAGUCAGUUAUACAUUUGGUCCUACCAGAGUCUAGGGGCCGCUAUCUUUGCAGACUGGGGAUUGGGCCACAAUCAGUCUUUCAGGUCAAGUGCAAUCAGCCCAAGACCACAGACUUGUUGGUCAGAGUGCGGUGGAGACAUUAGUGUAGGACAUAGACCAUGACUGGUUGGGGUUGUCCUGCCAAGUCAGUCAGUGGGGUGGGGGUUGGGGAGAAGGUGCAGCCAGCCCUGGAGGUUUGAUGAUACUGAUUAUGAACUUAUUGGGGGAAAUCCAUGAGAAAGAAAGCAACACAAUUCUGAGCAUAGGUUUCUUCAUAUUGGGUCACUUUCAUACAGGUCAUGGUAACUCUGGCGACUAUAUGGGGAGGAUGUAGGACUAAUUCUGCAUUUGAAAAUCUCCAAAAUCAUGGGCUCUUGAGGUAAGUUGGAGAUAUUAACAGUUCUGUAAAGGGGCUCAACAGAAACGGGAGUCGCUGAAGGUUAUAGGGGUGACAGGGAGAGCAACACAAAAGGGAACGUGAAGAAUGUGAGGAAUUCCAUGCAUUGCAAGUAGAACCUGCGGCUAACUCAGUGAACCACAAUUAGAAACUCGCUCGCUUUGUUGGAUCAAAUGUCAACUCCACACUAACUAUGCAAAAUGACUAAUACCAUAUGUAAGUGGAAUGGAUUGUUAAAUUUUAUUCUUUGGAAGCUGAGUAGAACUUUUGGAAUUGCUGGGGCAAUUGUAGUAAUCAUCCUCCACUUAUUCAGUAAUGCCACCCAGCUAUCUGCAAUUAGCACGUCAUCAGUAGAUCAUUCAUUAUCCAGGAAUGCACAUUAAAAAUGAUAGUCUUUAAACAACACUAAUUACCUCCUUGUCAUGUCAUGUAGCAAAUGUAAUGACACAAUGACACUUAAAACUUGCAACUGAUUUCACAAAUGUCACCAAUCAUUCUGUAGCUAGCAUCGGAAAAUAAUACUUCACAGCUGCUGUGUUUGUACAUUGAACUGGGCAAGGGCAAGAUCUGGGAUGUGGAAGUUAGCCUUUUCUUUGGGUACAUGGCUAUCAUUGCAGAAUUUACUACCUCUACCGUAGAAUGAAAACUUUGGUUGUGUAAUGUAAAUAUGGAUAAGGAGAGACCUCAGAGAUUUUUAUUAAUCAAGACAUGACAACAAACUCACUCAGAAGCUAUAUGCCACAUUAUGUGAGAGCAUAGCAUGAGGCUCCAUUGUGAUGGAUCUGAGGGCUCAGGACUUCUUUCAUGAAAAUGGUGUUAUUUUUCUGAUUGGCCAUCGGCUCUUGUGGAUAGAAACACAAUACCAGGUAAAUAUGUCCAUUCAUAUUAACUGCCUCUCAGCUGCCCUCUACUAAAACGUGAUAAAGAUGGUGAAAUUGCCUGAGGACAGCACCAACAUUAUUCUGCUGGAAAAGCUGAAAGAAGAAUGCAAAUGGAGGCAUGGCUUACCUCAAUAUCCCAUUACCAGCAAGGAACAUGAGGACUGCAGUGAUUCUUCUGUAUCUGAUUGUCCUCGGUAUCCUGGUAACAGUAGUAAUCAUAGCAGGUAACAAAUUUUUUUUUCAUCUGCAAAGCACUGGAUUGGUGAACUGAUGUUUCCCCUCCUUUCCGCCUGAGGCCUCAUCAGUGCCUCUAUCACAUCUGUCUCGGAGUGUGGCUAUUUCCCUUUUCUAAAAGAAAGUGUCAUUUUACAGUGGUGUUCACCUGGUUCUGACAGUUUACUUGUCUUCGGAAGUGAAGAUGAUGUACUGCUCCAUGCAGAUGUAUAGCUGACACGCAACCAGUGUCCAAUCAUUUGUUAAAGUUAAGAUGUGCAUUCAGGAUCUCUGGCCCAGGGUACUAAUCCCAAUUGGACUGCUCUAAAACUUGCUUCUGGUGCAAUAAAGAGAUAAUCGGCUAAAAUUCCAUGGCUUUCCCUUCCCGUCCCACCAUGAGUUUGACAGAACACUUUAAAGAAAUGGCAGAAAAACCACCCUAACAAUAGGGUGGAAACUGAUGGUCACCUCACAAAAUUUCAGGUUAGUUCUGUUGGAAUUAGUUCCUUCAGCUGACCCUGUGAUCAAAUCCUCAUUCAGAGUCAAAUCCUCAUUCAGAGCCUUCACAGAUGACUUUCUUCUUCCUUUCUGCCCACCGGUCAAGCUCAUAUCUCUCUGUUUCCAAAAGUUCAAAGUUUUGGGUUAAUUUAUAUUUGUCUUCAGCCUUAGUCAAAUAUUCUAUUAGCAACAAAGUUUCAAAGCAUAGGACCAAUUUGGAUUAAGGCACAAAUUGAAGGGUUUGGAUUUUCCUUUGAUUUGCUAACCCUGUUCAGGGGACUUUGAGCAGCAUGAUUAAAUUAAAGUGAAGUGGUUGCCAUCUGAAUUUUAUCAGUAAAAUGUACAGUUACCCUGUUUUAAUGGCACCAUUUUCUUCUGUGCUAGAUUAGAAUUUGUUGAGGGGGUAUAAGUACAAGGCAAAGAAGUGGUGAUGACCUUGUGUCUCUCUUUGCUUGAGCAAUCCUUUCUUGUUUGGUAUAGAAUUUGAGAUGGAAAACAGAUCUACGCUAAUUUUGAGAAUUUCUUUGUGUUUCAUUGUCUAGGAAGGCUGUUGAAACAAUGUAUUGGCUGUUGUCAACAGUGACCUGCCAUUUCACAAAGAAGGUGAUUAACAUUCCUCUUUUUACGUAGGCUGCAUACUCCAAUCCUUCCUAAUGGAACAGGAAAUUGAAACGCCACCCCCAACCAACAUCUACAUAAAAGAAAGGAAACAAUUGUGUGGACAAGUUAUGCUGACUUUGCAGAACAACAUUCAUGUGAAAUUGUGAACAUGCACAUUAACAACAACUGUUUAUUAAUAAUGUGUACCUGCUAACUUACUUGUUCUUCCUCCUCUAUGGAGUUGUAGGCUGACGGGAUAUUCUGAGAAACUUCCUGCAACGUGUCCCUUCCAACACUGCAUCUUCUAGGCCAUUUCCAGGCAAACAUCUUCUGCUCCCUGUGGAAGAGAUCAACAGUCCUGGCUCAAAAUCUUCCGGAUACUGGACCUGAAACUUGUGCCCCCAGUCCACUCAAUCAA